UGAGAGUUUGAUCCUGGCUCAGGACGAACGCUGGCGGCGUGCCUAAUACAUGCAAGUCGAACGCUUCUUUUUUCCACCGGAGCUUGCUCCACCGGAAAAAGAGGAGUGGCGAACGGGUGAGUAACACGUGGGUAACCUGCCCAUCAGAAGGGGAUAACACUUGGAAACAGGUGCUAAUACCGUAUAACAAUCGAAACCGCAUGGUUUUGAUUUGAAAGGCGCUUUCGGGUGUCGCUGAUGGAUGGACCCGCGGUGCAUUAGCUAGUUGGUGAGGUAACGGCUCACCAAGGCGACGAUGCAUAGCCGACCUGAGAGGGUGAUCGGCCACAUUGGGACUGAGACACGGCCCAAACUCCUACGGGAGGCAGCAGUAGGGAAUCUUCGGCAAUGGACGAAAGUCUGACCGAGCAACGCCGCGUGAGUGAAGAAGGUUUUCGGAUCGUAAAACUCUGUUGUUAGAGAAGAACAAGGAUGAGAGUAACUGUUCAUCCCUUGACGGUAUCUAACCAGAAAGCCACGGCUAACUACGUGCCAGCAGCCGCGGUAAUACGUAGGUGGCAAGCGUUGUCCGGAUUUAUUGGGCGUAAAGCGAGCGCAGGCGGUUUCUUAAGUCUGAUGUGAAAGCCCCCGGCUCAACCGGGGGAGGGUCAUUGGAAACUGGGAGACUUGAGUGCAGAAGAGGAGAGUGGAAUUCCAUGUGUAGCGGUGAAAUGCGUAGAUAUAUGGAGGAACACCAGUGGCGAAGGCGGCUCUCUGGUCUGUAACUGACGCUGAGGCUCGAAAGCGUGGGGAGCAAACAGGAUUAGAUACCCCUGGUAGUCCACGCCGUAAACGAUGAGUGCUAAGUGUUGGAGGGUUUCCGCCCUUCAGUGCUGCAGCUAACGCAUUAAGCACUCCGCCUGGGGAGUACGACCGCAAGGUUGAAAACUCAAAAGGAAUUGACGGGGGCCCGCACAAGCGGUGGAGCAUGUGGUUUAAUUCGAAGCAACGCGAAGAACCUUACCAGGUCUUGACAUCCUUUGACCACUCUAGAGAUAGAGCUUCCCCUUCGGGGGCAAAGUGACAGGUGGUGCAUGGUUUGUCGUCAGCUCGUGUCGUGAGAUGUUGGGUUAAGUCCCGCAACGAGCGCAACCCUUAUUGUUAGUUGCCAUCAUUUAGUUGGGCACUCUAGCAAGACUGCCGGUGACAAACCGGAGGAAGGUGGGGAUGACGUCAAAUCAUCAUGCCCCUUAUGACCUGGGCUACACACGUGCUACAAUGGGAAGUACAACGAGUCGCAAAGUCGCGAGGCUAAGCUAAUCUCUUAAAGCUUCUCUCAGUUCGGAUUGUAGGCUGCAACUCGCCUACAUGAAGCCGGAAUCGCUAGUAAUCGCGGAUCAGCACGCCGCGGUGAAUACGUUCCCGGGCCUUGUACACACCGCCCGUCACACCACGAGAGUUUGUAACACCCGAAGUCGGUGAGGUAACCUUUUGGAGCCAGCCGCCUAAGGUGGGAUAGAUGAUUGGGGUGAAGUCGUAACAAGGUAGCCGUAUCGGAAGGUGCGGCUGGAUCACCUCCUUUCUAAGGAA
rnacentral:rRNA from 1 species